rnacentral:rRNA from 1 species
UGCAGUCGCACGAUGACUGGAGCUUGCUCCAGGRAUUAGUGGCGAACGGGUGAGUAACACGUGAGUAACCUGCCCUUGACUCUGGGAUAAGCGCUAGAAAUGGCGUCUAAUACCGGAUACGAGCUUCAGYCGCAUGGCUAGGAGUUGGAAAGAAUUUUGGUCAAGGAUGGACUCGCGGCCUAUCAGCUAGUUGGUGAGGUAAUGGCUCACCAAGGCGACGACGGGUAGCCGGCCUGAGAGGGUGACCGGCCACACUGGGACUGAGACACGGCCCAGACUCCUACGGGAGGCAGCAGUGGGGAAUAUUGCACAAUGGGCGAAAGCCUGAUGCAGCAACGCCGCGUGAGGGAUGACGGCCUUCGGGUUGUAAACCUCUUUUAGUAGGGAAGAAGCGAAAGUGACGGUACCUGCAGAAAAAGCACCGGCUAACUACGUGCCAGCAGCCGCGGUAAUACGUAGGGUGCAAGCGUUGUCCGGAAUUAUUGGGCGUAAAGAGCUCGUAGGCGGUUUGUCGCGUCUGCUGUGAAAUCUGGGGGCUCAACCCCCAGCCUGCAGUGGGUACGGGCAGACUAGAGUGCGGUAGGGGAGAUUGGAAUUCCUGGUGUAGCGGUGGAAUGCGCAGAUAUCAGGAGGAACACCGAUGGCGAAGGCAGAUCUCUGGGCCGUAACUGACGCUGAGGAGCGAAAGCAUGGGGAGCGAACAGGAUUAGAUACCCUGGUAGUCCAUGCCGUAAACGUUGGGAACUAGAUGUGGGGGCCAUUCCACGGUCUCCGUGUCGCAGCUAACGCAUUAAGUUCCCCGCCUGGGGAGUACGGCCGCAAGGCUAAAA